ACAGACAGACGCACUCAUUACUGGUAUCAGUCUUAAAUUCAGAACUCAACAGAAAGAAAAACAUUGAAGUGACAUUUUGUUCUUUAGUGCAUUAACUAGUAGGGCUAAGCUGUGUACUGUUAUAACAAAAAAACUGAACCAAACCGUUUUAAUCAGUUUUUUUGGUUUGGUUAUUUGGAUUAAAUGGUAGAGUUAUGUUCAGUUAAUAUUUUUGGGAAAUUCGGUUCAGUUAUUUUUUGAAAAACACACACAUAAUAACCAAAUCGACCAAAGUUUUAAAUGGCAAGUCAAAUGCUGUUUAUUGCUUUACCGUAUCCUCUUUCUGUCUUUCUUUCACAAUCACGGCCUACCUCUUGCUCCUCUUCUUUCUCUCUUCUCACCCAGUCCUCUCGUCCUCACUCAAUCCAUCUCAUUCCUCAGUCCUCUCUGACAAUUUCACUCACUCUCACAUUGCACCUCCUUUGCUUCUCACUUCACUGUCAAUUGUUUCAAUUUCAAGCUUCUAUCCCCAAAAUCUCUAAAAUCCCUAAUUUCAAGUCCCAAAGAUUCCAAAGUCAAGAAAGAGGAUUUC
rnacentral:misc_RNA from 1 species